UACGUAGGGUGCAAGCGUUGUCCGGAAUUAUUGGGCGUAAAGAGCUCGUAGGCGGUCUGUCGCGUCGGAUGUGAAAAUCCAGGGCUCAACCCUGGACCUGCAUUCGAUACGGGCAGACUAGAGUUCGGCAGGGGAGACUGGAAUUCCUGGUGUAGCGGUGAAAUGCGCAGAUAUCAGGAGGAACACCGGUGGCGAAGGCGGGUCUCUGGGCCGAAACUGACGCUGAGGAGCGAAAGCGUGGGGAGCAAACAGG
rnacentral:rRNA from 1 species